rnacentral:misc_RNA from 1 species
AACGCACAUUGCGCCCCUUGGUAUUCCAUGGGGCAUGCCUGUUCGAGCGUCAUUUGUACCUUCAAGCCUUGCUUGGUGUUGGGUGUUUUGUCCUGCUUUUUUGCGCAUGGACUCGCCUUAAAUCCAUUGGCAGUCGGCAAUCUGGCGUGAGAGCGCAGCACAUUUUGCGCUCUUCGCUGUGUAUUGCGGCGUCCAUGAAGCCUAUAUUCUAGCGCUUGACCUCGGAUCAGGUAGGGAUACCCGCUGAACUUAA